UUUCUUACUCCAUGUAGGUUUCCCAGAGACUAUGGGUUGAGGAGGAAUUGGAAGUUUGUCGGCUUAGACCUGGUGUCAUUCCAUCAGUGUUAAACUUCCCGGCUCAUCUUGGAAGAGUACGUGCCAGAAAGACCAUGACCAAGCAGCCUUGAGAUCUUAGACAGCGUCUCCCUGAGACCAAAGAACUACAGACUCUUCACAACCUGCUCAAACUCUUGGUACAGGACCUCACCACACGGGUCAAGAAGGUUUCUGUCUCAUUUCUACUCUGAAGCUCACCUCCUGCUCAAACUGCUGACAAAUGUUUCUGCUGCUCUAAAGUCUGGUCUCCAGAACUUCCUAAAAACUCUCAAAGUCUCUUCUGCUGCAGGUUGCUUUGUAGAACUGUUCCAGAAAACCUCACUAAAC
ensembl:lncRNA